rfam:Anas platyrhynchos breed Pekin duck contig88668, whole genome shotgun sequence.
AAUAAGGCUCCCUUUGGAGCCAUCGCAGAGACAGAAAGGAGACAGA